CUGUUUCUUUCCAUGCUGCCACAGGCUUCUGCCUCACUCCUGAGGCCAUUUCCCCACUUAUUUGCAUUUUCAGAAAGGGAUAGGAUAAGAAAUCAAAGGAGAUGAGAUUCAGCCCAGUCCCCUUCAUCUGGGCGUCUGAAUGAUUGUAUCCCCUCCAUCAUCUAGACUUGAUUUUCUUUGUAUGGAGGAGAUGCGUGUCUAAUAUUUUCCUGUCUCCUCUUCCAUUUCCAGGAGGGCUGUUGGCCUGCUGCCGUGCUGCUAAACAGUAUGCAGUCCUUCCGGGAGCAAAGCAGUUACCACGGAGACCAACAGAGCUACCCGCAGGAGGUACACGGCUCAUCCCGGAUAGAAGAGUUCAGCCCUCGUCAGGCCCAGAUGUUCCAGAAUUUUGGGGGUGCAGGUGGCGGCAGUGGUGGCAGUGGCGGCGGCGGCGGCGGUGGGCGACGAGGAACGGCGGCUGCGGCAGCGAUGUCUAGCGAAACCUCUGGCCACCAGGGCUACCAGGGUUUCAGGAAGGAGGCUGGAGACUUUUACUACAUGGCGGGCAGCAAAGACCCCGUGACGUCGGGAACCCCGCAGCCGCCUCAGCGAAGGCCUUCGGGACCUGUGCAGAGCUACGGACCCCCCCAGGGGAGCAGCUUUGGCAAUCAGUAUGGGAGCGAGGGUCACGUGGGCCAGUUUCAAGCACAGCACUCUGCCCUUGGUGGUGUGUCUCAUUAUCAGCAGGAUUACACGGGGCCCUUCUCUCCAGGGAGCGCUCAGUACCAGCAGCAGGCCUCCGGCCAGCAGCAGCAGCAGCAGCAGCAGCAGCAGCAGGUACAGCAGUUGAGACAACAGCUUUACCAGUCCCAUCAGCCUCUGCCGCAAGCCACUGGCCAGCCGGCGUCCGGUUCGUCCCAUCUGCAGCCAAUGCAGCGGCCCUCAGCUCUGCCGUCCUCUGCUGCCGGGUACCAGCUCCGAGUGGGUCAGUUUGGCCAACACUACCAGUCUCCUGCCGCCUCCUCCUCCUCCUCCUUCCCUUCGCCACAGCGUUUCAGCCAGUCGGGACAGAGCUACGACGGCGGUUACAGCGUGAACGCUGGAUCCCAGUAUGAAGGACACGGCGUGGGUUCUAAUGCACAGGCCUAUGGGACACAAUCGAAUUACAGCUAUCAGCCUCAAUCUAUGAAGAAUUUUGAACAGGCAAAGAUUCCACCAGGGACGCAGCCGCCGCAGCAGCAGCCGCAGCAGCAGGCGCAGCAGGCGCAGCAGCACCCCCCUCAGCAUGUGAUGCAGUACGCCAACGCUGCCACCAAGCUGCCCCUGCAGGGCCAGGUGGGCCAGUACAGCCAGCCCGAGGUUCCUGUGAGGUCCCCCAUGCAGUUCCACCAGAACUUCAGCCCCAUCUCGAACCCCUCCCCCGCGGCCUCGGUGGUUCAGUCUCCGAGCUGUAGCUCCACCCCGUCUCCUCUGAUGCAGAGUGGGGAGAGCCUCCAGUGCGGGCAAGGCAGUGUGCCCAUGGGUUCCAGAAACAGAAUUUUACAGUUAAUGCCCCAGCUCAGCCCGACCCCCUCAAUGAUGCCCAGCCCUAAUUCUCAUGCUGCAGGCUUCAAAGGGUUUGGACUAGAAGGAGUGCCAGAAAAGCGACUGACAGAUCCUGGGCUGAGUAGUUUGAGCGCCCUGAGUACUCAAGUGGCCAAUCUUCCUAAUACCGUUCAGCACAUGCUACUUUCUGAUGCCCUGACACCUCAGAAGAAGACCUCCAAGAGGCCCUCCUCGUCUUCUAAGAAAGCAGACAGCUGCACAAACUCCGAAGGCUCCUCACAGCCUGAAGAACAACUGAAGUCCCCCAUGGCAGAGUCGCUGGACGGAGGCUGCUCCAGCAGCUCUGAGGAUCAAGGCGAGCGUGUGAGGCAGUUAAGUGGCCAGAGCACCAGCUCCGACACCACCUACAAGGGCGGAGCCUCCGAGAAAGCUGGCUCCUCACCAGCGCAAGGCACUCAGAACGAAGCCCCCAGACUCAAUGCCAGUCCUGCAGCCGGAGAAGAGGCUGCCUCGCCAGGCGCUAAGGACACACCAUUGUCAUCCGAGGGCAACCCAAAAGUCAAUGAGAAGACGGUCGGGGUGAUUGUCUCCCGGGAAGCUAUGACAAGUCGGGUAGAAAAGCCUGGUGGGCAAGAUAAAAGCUCCCAAGAGGAUGAUCCUGCAGUCACUCAAAGGCCACCCAGCACUGGUGGGGCAAAGGAGACCAGUCACCCAUCAGUUCCACAGCCAGAGCCCCCGGGGGGAGGGAGCAAAGGAAACAAGAAUGGAGAUAAUAACUCGAACCACAAUGGAGAGGGAAAUGGCCAGAGCGGGCACUCCACGGUGGGCCCUGGUUUUAUAGGCAGAAGUGAGCCCAGCAAAUCUCCUGGAAGCCUGCGCUACAGUUACAAAGAUAGUUUCGGGUCGGCCGUGCCAAGAAACGUCAGUAGCUUUCCUCAGUAUCCCACGGGACAAGAUAAGGGUGAUUUCACUGGCCACGGGGAGCGAAAGGGUAGAAAUGAGAAGUUCCCUAGCCUCCUGCAGGAAGUGCUUCAGGGCUACCACCACCACCCUGACAGGAGAUAUUCUAGGAGCACUCAGGAGCAUCAGGGCAUGGCUGGUGGCCUGGAAGGAGCCACGAGGCCUAACGUCUUGGUCAGUCAAACCAAUGAAUUGGCUAGCAGGGGCCUUUUGAACAAAAGCAUUGGGUCCCUACUAGAGAACCCGCACUGGGGCCCCUGGGAGAGGAAGUCAAGCAGCACGGCUCCUGAGAUGAAACAGAUCAAUUUGGCUGACUAUCCGAUUCCCAGAAAGUUUGAAAUAGAGCCCCAGUCAUCGGCUCAUGAGCCCGGGGGUUCCCUCUCUGAAAGAAGAUCAGUGAUCUGUGAUAUUUCUCCGCUAAGACAGAUUGUCAGGGACCCGGGGGCUCACUCACUGGGACACAUGGGUGCUGACGCCAGACUUGCAAGGAGUGAACGGCUCAAUCCAAGUUUAAGUCAGUCGGUCAUUCUUCCGGGUGGGUUGGUAUCCAUGGAAACAAAGCUGAAAUCCCAGAGCGGGCAGAUAAAAGAAGAAGACUUUGAACCACCCAAAUCUCAAGCUAGUUUCAACAACAAGAAAUCCGGAGACCACUGCCAUCCUGCUAGCAUCAAGCACGAGUCUUACCGCGGCAAUGCCAGCCCUGGAGCAGCCCACGAUUCCAUCUCAGACUAUGGCCCGCAGGACAGCAGACCCGCGCCAAUGCGGCGGGUCCCUGGCAGAGUCGGUGGUCGGGAGGGCAUGAGGGGUCGGUCCCCUUCGCAAUAUCAUGACUUCUCAGAAAAACUGAAGAUGUCUCCUGGGAGGAGCAGAGGCCCAGGGGGAGACCCUCAUCACGUGAACCCACACAUGACCUUCUCGGAGAGGGCCAACCGGACUUCUUUACACGCUCCCUUCUCUCCCAACUCAGAAAGCCUGGCCUCCGCUUACCACACAAAUACGCGGGCUCAUGCUUAUGGGGACCCCAACGCAGCCUUGAAUUCUCAGCUCCAUUAUAAGAGACAGAUGUACCAACAGCAACAAGAGGAAUACAGAGACUGGAGCAGCAGCUCUGCUCAGGGAGUAAUCUCUGCGGCACAGCACAGGCAGGAGGGACCGCGGAAGAGCCCGAGGCAGCAGCAGUUCCUCGACAGGGUGCGGAGCCCCCUGAAAAACGACAAAGACGGCAUGAUGUAUGGCCCACCAGUGGGGACUUACCACGACCCCAGCGCUCAGGAAGGCGGGCGCUGCCUCAUGUCUAGUGACGGUCUGUCUAACAAAGGCAUUGAAUUGAAGCAUGGCUCCCAGAAGCUACAACAGGAAUCUUGUUGGGAUCUUUCCCGACAGACUUCUCCAGCCAAAAGCAGCGGCCCUCCGGGAAUGUCCAAUCAGAAAAGGUAUGGACCCCCCCAUGAGGCCGAUGGGCACGGGCUCGCCGAGACCGCACAGUCAUCCAAACCCGGCAAUGUUAUGCUCAGGCUUCCAGGCCAAGAGGAUCAUUCUUCUCAAAACCCCUUAAUCAUGCGGAGGCGGGUGCGUUCCUUUAUCUCUCCCAUCCCCAGCAAGAGGCAGUCACAAGAUGUGAAAAACAGUAACACCGAAGAUAAAGGGCGCCUCCUUCACCCACCAAAAGAAGGCGCCGAUCGAGCAUUCAAUUCCUAUGCGCAUCUUUCUCACAGUCAGGAUGUCAAGUCUGUCCCUAAGAGAGAAUCCUCCAAGGACCUUCCGAGUCCAGAUAGUAGGAACUGCCCUGCCGUCACCCUCACGAGCCCUGCUAAGACCAAAAUACUGCCCCCUCGGAAAGGACGGGGGUUGAAACUGGAGGCUAUAGUUCAGAAGAUCACGUCCCCGAAUAUUAGGAGGAGUGCAUCCUCGAACAGCGCGGAGGCCGGGGGAGACACGGUUACUCUCGAUGACAUACUGUCUUUGAAGAGUGGCCCUCCCGAAGGUGGGAGUGUGGCUGUUCCGGACGCCGAGAUGGAGAAGAGAAAAGGUGAGCUGGUAUCUGACCUAGUCUGUCCCACAAGCCAGGACUUGAACGUAGAAAAGCCCCUGGCGAGGUCUUCCGAGGAGUGGCGUGGCAGUGGGGACGACAAAGUGAAGACCGAAACACACCCAGACACGGUCACCGCUGGAAAGGAACCCCCUGGCACCAUGACGUCCACCACCUCACAGAAGCCUGGGAGUAACCAGGGGAGACCAGACGGUUCCCUUGGUGGGACUGCGCCUUUAAUCUUCUCUGACGCAAAGAAUGUACCUCCAGCGGGCGUGUCGGCCCCUGAGGCAAACCCCAAGGCUGAAGACAAGGAGAGCGAUACAGUGACGAUUUCCCCCAAACAAGAGGGUUUCCCCCCGAAGGGGUACUUCCCGUCAGGAAAGAAGAAGGGGAGACCCAUCGGUAGUGUGAACAAGCAGAAGAAACAGCAGCCACCACCUCCACCCCCUCAGCCCCCUCAGAUACCAGAAGCUUCUGCAGAUGGAGAGCCAAAGCCAAAAAAGCAGAGGCAAAGGCGGGAGAGAAGGAAGCCUGGGGCCCAGCCAAGGAAGCGGAAAACCAAACAGGCGGUUCCCAUCGUGGAACCCCAAGAACCUGAGAUCAAACUAAAGUAUGCCACCCAGCCACUGGAUAAAACCGACGCCAAGAACAAGUCUUUUUUCCCUUAUAUCCAUGUAGUAAAUAAGUGUGAACUUGGAGCCGUGUGUACAAUCAUCAAUGCUGAAGAAGAAGAACAGACCAAACUGGUGAGGGGUCGGAAGGGUCAGAGGUCUCUGACCCCGCCGCCCAGCAGCACUGAAAGCAAGGUGCUCCCGGCUUCGUCCUUCAUGCUGCAGGGCCCCGUCGUGACAGAGUCUUCUGUUAUGGGGCACCUGGUUUGCUGUCUGUGUGGCAAGUGGGCCAGUUACCGGAACAUGGGCGACCUCUUUGGACCCUUUUAUCCCCAAGAUUAUGCAGCCACUCUCCCGAAGAAUCCGCCGCCCAAGAGGGCCACGGAAAUGCAGAGCAAGGUUAAGGUACGGCACAAAAGCGCGUCCAACGGCUCCAAGACGGACACUGAGGAGGAGGAAGAGCAGCAGCAGAAGGAGCAGAGGAGCCUGGCCGCCCACCCCAGGUUUAAGCGGCGACACCGCUCGGAAGACUGUGGCGGGGGCCCUCGGUCCCUGUCCAGGGGGCUCCCUUGUAAGAAAGCAACCACCGAGGGCGGCGGCGAAAAGACCGUUUUGGACUCAAAGCCCUCCGUGCCCACCACUUCCGAAGGUGGCCCCGAGCUGGAGUUACAAAUCCCUGAACUACCUCUUGACAGCAAUGAAUUUUGGGUCCAUGAGGGUUGUAUUCUCUGGGCCAACGGAAUCUACCUGGUGUGCGGCAGGCUCUAUGGCCUGCAGGAGGCGCUGGAAAUAGCCAGAGAGAUGAAAUGUUCCCACUGCCAGGAGGCAGGUGCCACCUUGGGCUGCUACAACAAAGGCUGCUCCUUCCGAUACCAUUACCCGUGUGCCAUUGACGCAGAGAAGCCAUUGGAGCUCUAGGGAUUGCACUGAAUCUGCAGAUUGUUUGCUACAUGAGGAGAACUUCUCGGUGAGGUGCCCCAAGCACAAGGUGAGACUGUGGAGAUGAGAAGGUGGUGGACACUCGAGAUGGAACCAGAACCGUCCUGCUGUGCGGCCCCGCCCCGCCCGCCCUGCCCCGCCAGCACCUCCUCCCUAAGUCCUUACAUCACACCCAAACCGUGACACCACAGGAAAGAAAGACCCAAGAAGUUGGAAUGGCUGUUUCCAUGGACACGAUCUCCAUAGUGACAAUGUGGGGGGAGGGGGGUGGGGUGGGAUGAUGGGAAAGGGGGGGUUAAAAGGGUGGGAUAAAAAUAUAUAUAUAUAAAUCUAUUUUUAGUCUGGAAAGACUUUGUUUAAAUGAAAGGUGCGCUAUCCCUUUUGAUUCUAUUUUAAAAUUCUCUAGUUAAAGAACUCCAAAUUUGUUCCAAUAACAGUGAAAUUUAAGUGUGAAAUUGAACAAGCUGGUCUCAUAAAGGACGGGGUGUGGCUUUGAUCUUUAGCCUGCCUCACGCCGGUUCAGAGAGCUGCAGACCCAGGGUUGAAAGAGCAGACAGACCACACCGGAACCAUCCUUUGUCGUUAAUUCGUCUCAAAGUGGGAAGAUUUGGGGGUUGGGGGGGUGGGGGAUGUGGGGACGGUCCGUGUUUUCAAGAGUGGGGGAAUGAUGUUUAAACACAAAUAAAUUUUUUCAUUUCCAGAAACACUAUUUAUUUAUUAUUUUUAAAAUUUUUAUCUUUUUGGGGGGUGAGAUUGGCAGAUGUCCCAAGGUCACAGCUAUGUCCUGGGUCACUGUGGCCAGUGAGAACCAUGAGCGCCCCACUAAGUGCGCCCGGCAGGCAGGGUCAGGGGGUGGCCUGCCUCUGGACGCAUUCCUGGCAGCUGUACCCUGCCCCCCCCCCCCUCCCCAGGCCGAAGGACGGGACAGGAAAUCUAAGUUGUAGGACUCGGCACACGGGGGAGGGGCUGUUGAGUGCCAUCAGUGUGGUUAGGCUGACCAGGAACACCCAGUUAGCCCUUUUUUCUUUUGCUUUCAUUUUUAUAAAGGAAAAGGGGGCCUGUCAGGUGAGCAGCUCCACGCUACAUGAUUCUUUAUGUUGUAUUGUUUUGUUUUGUAAAUUGUAUAAUUUUUAAAUAUCUGAGUUUUAAAAAAAGAAGAAAAAGUACAAAAAAAAUCUUGUUAAGGCCUUAAGAAGGGGUUAGUGCAUCUUUCAGGGGUCACUCUGCCGUGGGGAUAAAAUGGCUGUUUCACAAACAGUUUUAUUUAAAAAACAAAAAAAAAAUCAAAAAAUAAUAAACUUCAUUUUAACCUUG